rnacentral:rRNA from 1 species
AUACGUAGGGAGCAAGCGUUGUCCGGAAUUAUUGGGCGUAAAGAGCUCGUAGGCGGUUCGGUAAGUCGGGUGAGAAAAUCCAGGGCUCAACCCUGGGACGCCACCCGAUACUGCUGUGACUAGAGUCCGGUAGAGGAGCGUGGAAUUCCUGGUGUAGCGGUGAAAUGCGCAGAUAUCAGGAGGAACACCAGCGGCGAAGGCGGCGCUCUGGGCCGGUACUGACGCUGAGGAGCGAAAGCAUGGGGAGCAAACAGGAUUAGAAACCCCGGUAGUCC